rnacentral:misc_RNA from 1 species
AAGUCGUAACAAGGUUUCCAGUAGGGUGAACCCUUGCGGAAAGGUCCAAUUGCACCCGAGAGGAGGGUUGGCCGGUUUUAAACUCUGGCCCCGACCCUCCAACCCAUUGUCACAAUCCUCUGUUGCCUCGGCGGGUCGUCGAGCGCCCUAGCAAUAGGCCCUCGCCCGUCGGCUCCUGGGACCCUCGUGCGCCCGUCGAAGGACUGAAAUAAACCACAUUUUGAAACCCACCCCUCUGAGUGAAAUUAUAAUACUUCAAAA